rnacentral:lncRNA from 1 species
AUCUGAAGUGUGAAUAGGAUUGGUGAAAGAGUGAAAGAGUGUUGUGUGCUUUUGCUGAGUUUAGGAUGGUGUCAAUUGUGCCUCAGGAGAAGAGUUUAGACAUUCUGUCCUGAUGAAUGUAAUCAAGUCUUUAUUUCAUGGUUUCUCUUAACGCAAAUACGUACAGGUUCAUAUUCGUCGAUGAGGGUGAGAGGAAAACUAUCGCCAACAGAAAGAAUCCAGAUAGGAAGAGAGAAAAAGAAAGACCAGAGAUGGUAUACUGUGGUGGUUAAAGGCCAGAGACUGGGGAAAAAGUGGUUAUGGGUUUAAAGUCUGCCUCCAGCAUUUUCUUGCUCUAUAAUUUUGGAGAAGUUACCAAAAAUCUCAAAACCCAAGUUUUUUUGUAAGAUAUCUACAUUUCAGACUUCUUGUGAAGACUAAAAAAGAUAAUGUUCAUGUGGGCUGCUCCUCAUAACCCUGCUCAAACACUACUGAGGCAUCAGGAUCUUCAAGAUUCAUAUGAGGAAACUGAAGCGAAAGAAUGUUGACUAAUUUUGUCAAGGUCACACAACUGCUCUCUUUGGUGACUUCCUGAAGCUUGAAGUAUCUUCCUUGGGAGACGUAUUAUAGAAUUUGAAAUCCCACUGGCCAGAUCUCAGCAUGUAGUUUCAUCCCAACUCUACAGAAGUCUGGAAAAUACAGAGAGAACAUGCUCUUUCCCUAGGAAGAAGAGAUGAGAGCUCCAUCUCUCUGCUGGUGGAAGGAGAGGUUGUCUUUCCCUUCCCAUAGGGCAAGAAGAGCUGCCUCCACAUCCUCCUUCUGCUGUAGCUGAAGAGCCUGUUUAAAGGAACAUCCUGAUGGGGCUCAGCCUUUUGACCCCCAGAAAACAUGGCUUUGUCUGCCAUCCUGCAGCUCAUCAUGGGAGCCUGCAAAGUGGUUGGGGGCAGCACACACCAGCAUGCUGUGAAGAGAGGAAAGAGCUGCCGGGAUAACAACCCCGCAGCCACCAUAAUGACUCAGAUUAGAACACAAGGGAACACCAGCCAUUUUUUAGUCUGUCAGUUUUUCUAUUAUCCUCAAGACUGAGCAUGAAACAUUCAUUAUAACACGUCCUUAUUGAUUCAACUGAUGGAAAUAUAUUGGUAUUAAUAACACGAAACUCUAAGGCACUGAGGAUAAUAAAAUGAUUGCGAACAUAA